rnacentral:rRNA from 1 species
UACAGAGGGUGCGAGCGUUAAUCGGAAUUACUGGGCGUAAAGCGUGCGUAGACGGUUUCGUAAGUCGGGUGUGAAAGCCCGGGGCUCAACUCCGGAAUUGCCUUUAAAACUGCAUCGCUAGAGUUGUGGAGAGGUAAGUGGAAUUCCGAGUGUAGAGGUGAAAUUCGUAGAUAUUCGGAAGAACACCAGUGGCGAAGGCGACUUACUGGACACAUACUGACGCUGAGGUGCGAAAGCGUGGGGAGCAAACAGG